UGACGACGAACUGUUGAACUCCACGGGAGACGAUCUAGCUGCGAGGUGAAAUCUCGCUCAGAUUCUAUUUGAAAGUCAAAUGACAACCGAUUAUCCGACUGGCUAUCUUCUAACUUGAAAUUGAUUUUCAAAGAAACAGCUUUGCGAAGAAUUUGCCAACCACUAAGUCCGAUCUCCUAAUGACACAAAAGGGAAGAGAAAGAGGGGGAGAGAGAGAGAGAGAGAGAGAGAGAGAAAGAGGAUGGAAGGGGACAAAAAAAAAAAGAAUUUAAUUAUUAUUGCAAACCUUCGUUCAAUUUUAUGAUCAUAUUCAUAUUGGUAUGAAGUUUUAUAAAUUUUGGAAAAUACAAUUUUUAUUAUAAUA